AUGUUGUGCCUUCACAGAAUUUAAAUUGGCAUUAGGAAUAGACUUCCUUGAUUUAGUAAUGAUAUUGCUCAUAGAAAUUGAUAAUGUGAAGAAUAACAAUACAGGAACAUAGAAUAACAAGAAAGAAAUUCUAGCAGCAAGUUAGGGACACAGUAAAAAGACAAAACAUUUAGACCCUUUGAAAGAGAAAUGUUUGCAAUGGAUAUUAAUAAAUUCUAGCCAAUUUGUAUGAUGUACAAUGCAGGCAAUAUUUCUGCCUCCUAACGUACUAUUCGCGUAAAAGAAGAUGUGGGUAUUGUAUUUAUAGGUAGUUAAUGAUACAUGGAAUAUAUUUCUAUAUUAUUGCAAUAACAAUGUCUUUAUGUUGUAUUUUUUUAGAACGGGUUUAUUAUUAGUUGGCUAGUGUGUUAGUAGGAUAGCCAUUAGUAGUUAUAAAGUAUGAAGUCGUCAGGUAUUAAUAAUAGGAAUUGAUCAAAACUUAUACAUUUAUUGUGAUAUUUAUAUUGUGAAUUUAAGUAGUUAGUUUUGAUUGUUUAAUAAACGAAUUAAUGUGCUUAUUGUGUAUCUAAUUAAAAGAACAAUGAAAAGUUGAAUACCAUAGGGGUACGUAUGUUAUACAAAGAAUUUGCAUCAACAUUUUUUUGGUUAUAUACUUGUACUGAUAUUUGUUUCUUGAACUAAAGAAUUAUACAGUACCUACUACACAAUAUAAUAAUCUGCAGCUACAUAGGUAGGUAGCUAUUGGUAAUUAAAUUUUUUAUCUAAUAUAAUAUCUAACAUCAGAAAUAUUGUUAAUUAUCAACUAUAAACAACUAAGAACUAGAAUUAUCAACUAUAAACACAAUAUAAUAUACUGUAUCUUAAGCAAUAUGUAAUUAUUUAACAAUUUUUUUGGGAAAUAAAAACUGGUACUAAAUUC